rnacentral:lncRNA from 1 species
CUUCCAUUCAGACAAUAAGACAACUGCCUUACAAAACCAUUUACCAAAAAAAAAGUAUAAACGAUAAAGAGAGAUGUAUAAAUACACAGCCAAGACCAAUCGGAUGACAGUCGUUAAACUUGAUGUAGAGAAAAUGCAAAUAAAUUGCUCUAUACAUGAUAAAGUACCAAUGGAAUCACACGGCUCAGUAGAGGGGAUUUUUCUUGAUAAAUUUCCUUAUGAAUAUGCGUUUGCUUCGUCAAUUUUACUUAAACUUCAAUUGCCGCAUAAAUUUUUUAACACUUACGCAAACCCGUUCUGUUCUUCUUUUAGGUUACUAAAAUCUUGCUUUGUGAUAAAACAGCAAUGAUUCAUUAAACAAUUGCACAGAACAUGACACCUUAAAAAAUACCAUUCGUCGUUUUAGAAAACAUGUCUGUCUAGUUUGUUUUGAGGAUUCAGAUAUACAGAGUACCAUUGGGUUUCCAAUGAGUUCUAAUUAUAUGUCACUACUGUCCUACUGACCGACUUGGUUAAGUACUUAUAUGAAGCAGAAUGCAUGAAGAAUAAAGACAAUAAAAAAAACUCUUUCACAUUUCAUCUUUUUUCACUAAAAGAUGAUUUAAAGAUAUCAAUAAUCCACAUGCAAGUAGGUGCUUGCAUCUUAUUUAUCAUUUGCCUUUUUAGCUUUUUUUUUUAGAGCGUCACUGAUCAGUCUUUUGUAGACAAAACGCGCAUCUGGCGCAAAUACAAAUUUUCAAUCCUUGUAUCUAUGAUGAUUUUAUUCACAAUG